ensembl:antisense Gm16004 predicted gene 16004
AAUAGGACAGGCUUCUAGACAGGAAGACAAAGGGCCUCCAGAACAUGGGUGGAAGCCUCAUAAUAAAACGAGAGGAGGAUUCACAAGCACCCCUCAUCCCCAAAUCUGAAUCAAUUCCACCAUCUGCAGAAGAUGCUGGAUGCAAGCAACUUCAAGGAAAACCAGCUGAAUGAAUCUGUGGAAGGAAGAAUUGGGCUACUCCAGCUACUCCUACUCUUGCUUGCCAGUGCUCGAAAACUGCUUUAAAAGAGAGCCACUCUAUUUGCUGUGAAGGAAGAAAAUGAGACCGUGCAAAUAUCGAUGGAUGAAGG